rnacentral:rRNA from 1 species
ACGCUCGACACCUACGGGAGGCAGCAGUAGGGAAUCUUCCACAAUGGACGCAAGUCUGAUGGAGCAACGCCGCGUGAGUGAAGAAGGUCUUCGGAUCGUAAAACUCUGUUGUUAGAGAAGAACACGAGUGAGAGUAACUGUUCAUUCGAUGACGGUAUCUAACCAGCAAGUCACGGCUAACUACGUGCCGGCAGCUGCGGUAAUCUGAGCGGGCUGGCAAGGC